CUUUCCAUGGAGGUUAGAGAGGACGUCCGCAAGCUCCGGUUGAAAGACAAGCAUGCAGGCCUAAAGGGAGGAGACAGUGGAUCAGAGGUUCUCGCAGCUUACAUGAGAAAAUACUCUCAAUGCCAAAAGCUUCUAGGACCUGUGAGAGGCUCAGCAGGGUGCUACAGUGCCAGGGAUGAAGAAGAUGGCCACAGGACUUUGGAUGCUGAGUUCUGUGAUGUAGGUGAUUUUGAUGAGAACUUUAGCCCGAGGGGACCCCGUUGACUGACCUGAGGACUGGGCCAUGACCAGAGCAUGGGAAAAAGACAUUUUACAGCGGAAGACUGUCUACUCCCAUUGUGUGUGUUCUCUUAUCAGUCUGGCAGCUGAGUGCCUGGUGGCAGUACCAGCUCUUCUGCUUCACACAACAGCGACUUCAUUUCCUCCUUUAGACAACGCACAUGGGUAUGGCUGGCUUGGCCUCCUGUACUCCUAAGGGGGUUUUCAUUCGUGUGUUUGAGACAAAGUCUUGCUAGGAAGGUCUGACAGCAUAGAGCUCACUGUGUAGAACAACAGGUGGGCCUCUUGCAGCAAUUCUCCUGCCUCUACCUCUCAAGGGCUGAGAUUAUGGUGUAUGCCGCCAUGUGUGACAUUUAAGAGAAAUCUCAUAAGCCCAGGGUACUGUAAAUAAUCUUGGCUUCUAUUAUGGAUUCAUAUUGCAAAUCAUUUCCCAUAAUGCACGGGCUACAGGAUGAGUGACAAGCUGUACCGGAGUGUCCUGGUCCAUCAAGUAAGCACCAUGGCCUUGGCUGACGGCCUCUC
rnacentral:lncRNA from 1 species